GACGAACGCUGGCGGCGUGCUUAACACAUGCAAGUCGAACGGUGAAGGGACCGGUUUUUGCUGGUUCUGGAUGAGUGGCGAACGGGUGAGUAACACGUGAGUAACCUGCCCCCUUCUUCUGGAUAACCGCAUGAAAGUGUGGCUAAUACGGGAUAUUCUGCGCCUGCUGCAUGGUGGGUGUGGGAAAGAUAUUGGUUCGGUGGGGGAUGGGCUCGCGGCCUAUCAGCUUGUUGGUGGGGUGAUGGCCUACCAAGGCGGUGACGGGUAGCCGGCCUGGGAGGGUGGGCGGUCCUGCUGGGACUGAGACGCGGCCCCGACUCCUACGGGAGGCAGCAGUGGGGAAUGUUGCACAGUGGGAGGAAGCCUGAUGCCGCGCCGCCGCGUGGGGGAUGGAGGCCUUCGGGUUGUAAACCUCUUUCGCCAGUGAAGCAGGCCUGUCCCUUUUGUGGGUGGGUUGACGGUAGCUGGAUAAGAAGCGCCGGCUAACUACGUG
rnacentral:rRNA from 1 species